UCCGAAUUGGUGUAGUGGUUAACAUUUAGCACUCUCACUGCUAAGCCCGGGGUUCGAUUCCCCGAUUCGGAG